CCUGGGCGGGCGCGCGGACCUGCACGCGGCGGGGCGGGAGGCGUGACCCGCCGCGCGCCGCCCUUCCCCGCCCAGCGAGCGAAGUAACGGUCUGGCGGCGGGGUCCUAAGCCUUCCCAACCGCCUUGGCGCGGGCCGCGCUCCCCGACCCCGAGCCCGCCCCCAGGGCGCCCGCACAGGAAUGAAACAGGGUGAUUCAGGCGGAGUUUGCUGUGGGAACAUCGCGCGUGGGGCAGGAGCCUGCGACUGGCAAGACCAAGGAAACCCGCUGCCUGGGUGCUCGCUGGACCUAUGGGAAACUUAGGUCUUCCGCAGCCGGGUGGACCGCAACUCUAUUUGCCCCAAGGCUGGGACGGACUGAAUAGGGACCGAAGGAAGCAGGCGGAGAGGAGCCCUGCCACCCUUGGCCCACCACGGAAUUUGUAGAUGAGCUUUCCAGGAGCGCUGUGCAAGGCGACAGCGGCGUGCAGACCCACUUUGGGACAGGUUAUAAUCAUCUUCCUUUUCACGAAGGCUCAAGCCAGUCUAAGAUCUGAGGCAGCAGUGAGCAGAUAACAAGAUCCAAUUAUUCCUCCUUGGUGUGCUGAGCAACUUAAUCUUGAGGCAGAACUAACUCCUGUUAGUGCUCAAAAAACACAGGGAUGAGGUGCCUAAAGAUAAUUUAAUAAGCAUGAUACAUUUUCAAUGAUUCCAGAGCUUCAGGAGUUCUGUGAAUGAAGCCUCUGCCUCCAAACUGAAGCAAGAUGGUCUUCAAGUACCAGAAAAUUCUGUUUUAAUUUAACCUAAAUUCUUGAGGGCUUUUAAAUCCAUUUUCCCUGGAGUUCUGCAUUUACUCACUCCCUCAUUAUAAUUAAAGUAUUUGAAGAAACUGUUGCCAUCUAGCCUUCUGUUCUUUAAACAUCUACUUUUCUCCCUUCUUGUUUUUAAAUUAGCUUUGCUACUCUUCUGCACUUUUUCAUUAUCUUCAUGUCUUUUUUAUUGAAAGUCAAACCUAUCAAAAGACUUCCCACAUUAAAUAAAUUUCUUUUUUAUC